CUACUGCUUCAACUUCCUAUAUUAUAUAGUCAGUCCCCUGGAGACUAUUCUUUAUCUCAGCUACUCUAUACUACUGCCAUUUACAUGGAAGGCUGCUGGAAUUAUGCAACCUUCUUGAGAAUCGAAAAGGCGCUAAGGACAAUAGGGCAAUAUAUAACCAGCCCAAUUAGAGAAAAUAGCAAGUCAAUUUCUAUCAGAGUUGUUGAUUACCAAUUCAUAAUAAUGCAAUGGAUGGCUAAGAUCAGGGCAGAGGCAAGAUACAGACAAUAAGGGGAGUGUAUUGGCUGUAGAGAAUUUUAAAACAAUACCAAGCAACUCACCAUGUUCCCAGCCUGUAGCCACCCCCACCACCUACUUUCCCUGACUUGGUACAUUACUGUUGUUCACUGUCAUCUUGUACUCAUUAGAAUGUUAAAAAUCAUAUCAUUUUUUUUUUCAAGGUAGACUUAGGGUCCACAACUAAAAUGCUGGUUUAGUAAAACAUAUACCUUUGUUUUUACAGAAGAUGUAAAAACAAACCCUUAGGAAACAGUGUGUUUAACUCUAUCUUAAAGAGUUAACACAUUAAAGUCCUUAACACAUUAGUAUGCAAUUAAGAUCACUUGGAGGCCAGGGGCGGUGACUCACGCCUGUAAUCCCAGCACACAGGGAGGCCGAGGCAGGCGGAUCACCUGAGGUCAGGAGUUCAAGACCAGCCUGGCCAACAUGGUGAAACCCUGUCUCUACUAAAAAUACAAAAAUUAGCCAGGCAUGGUGGUAGGAGCCUGUAAUCCCAACUACUUGGGAGGCUGAGGCAGGAGAAUCACUUGAACCCGGGAGGCAGAGAUUGCAGUGAGCUGAGAUCGUGCCACUGCACUCCAGUGUGGGCAACAGAGUGAGACUCCGUCUCAAAAAAAAAAAAAAAAAAAAAAAAAAUCACAUGGUGUAUGUGAAAUACAGAAUCCCAGGCAACACUCCCAAACAAUUCUAAGUGAUUCUGAUAUAGAUGCCUACAAGCCUCUUUGAAAUGCCAACCAGCUUAUAAUCAACCCUUACCCAAUUUACCAGAUUAAAAGCAACUGUUACCAACUAACAGGACAAGCGGACUCCAUUUGCACAACUGAAUAUUUAUCUUGCUAGAAUCAUUUUACCCAUGGAAAUUUUCAGGCGACUCCUAACUAUGCCUAGUAACAGUUUGAAUAUGGCUAGUAUUAAAGAAAGGAUAUACCCUUCUCAACCCUAUCAAAAGUAGGUAUCUUAGGCUGGGCACAGUGGCUCACGCCUGUAAUCCCAGCACUUCAGGAGGCCGAGGCAGGCAGAUCACUUGAGCACAGGAGUUGGAGACCAGCCUGAGCAACACAGUAAGACCCCAUCUCUACAAAAAAUUUCAAAAAUUAGGCCGGGUGCAAUUGCUCACACCUGUAAUCCCAGCACUUUGGGAGGCUGAGGUGGACGGAUCACCUGAGCUCAGGAGUUUGAGACCAGGCUGGUCAUAUGGUGAAACCCCGUCUCUACUAAAAAUACAAAAGUUAGCCAGGUGUGGUGGUGUGUACCUGUAAUCCCAGCUACUCGGGAGGCUGCGGGAGAAUAGCUUGAACCUGGGAGGCAAAGGUUGCAGUAAGCCAAAAUUGCGCCACUGCACUCCAGCCUGAGAGACAGAGCCGAGACUCCGUCUCAAAAAAUAAAAAUGAAAAAAAAAAAUAAAUAAACUGGGCCGGGCGAGGUGGCUCACACAAUCCCAGCACUUUGGGAGAUUGAGGCGGGCAGAUCACCAGGUCAGGAGUUCAAGAUCAGCCUGACCAAUCCAGUGAAACCCCGUCUCUACUAAAAAUACAAAAAUCAGCCGGAUGUGGUGGCGUGCACCUGUAGUCCCAGCUACUCAGGAGGCUGAGGCAGGAGAAUCACUUGAACCCGGGAGGCGGAGGUUGCAGCGAGCCGAGAUAGUGCCACUGCACUCCAGCCUGGGCGACGAGAGAACUCCACCCCACACACACACCCACACCCAAAAAAGAAACUAACACAACUUAAAUUUUGGGAUGUUUUUAAAAGUUGACAAUUAGGCAAGGUGCAGUGGCACAUGCCUGUAACUCCAGCACUUUGGGAAGCCAAGAGUUCAAGACCAGCCUGGGAAACAUAGCAAGACCUGGUAUCUACAAAAAUUGAGAAAGAUUAAAUUAACAGAAACACAUGUCCAGGGCUUAUACCCAAACAAGAAUUCCAGAGAACAAAGAUCGAGAUGGUAGAUGGGGAAAGAAGAAUCAGUUCAGUAAUAUUUCCCGUAUCUGAAGAGCAAGUUUAUACAAUGACAAGAUUCAGUGAGUGACCAGUACAAUGUAUUAAAUAAACCCAAGAUACAGUUGUGAACCAUAAGAACAAUGGUAAAAUUCCAAGUGAUUUCAGCGUUAAGAAAGAUUCCAUAUGUAAGACCAAGAUUUAAAAUAAAUUUCUGGGUCAAAGAACAGUGUAGCACACACCUGUAAUCCCAGCACUUUGGGAGGCCA
rnacentral:lncRNA from 1 species